UCCCGCCAUGGCGGCUGAGGGGAUGCGGACCUCCCUCACGGCAACCUCAAAAUAAACCUUCCGCAAACCCCUGGAAGGGCCGUGCGGGAUUCCCAGUGAUUAUCAUCAAUGACUAAUUUGAGUUCCCAGAGACCCGCUGGUCUCAGGAGACAGCUGAGCCCUCUUUCAGCCUGGUGAUGGGUGGAGAGACAAGCCGCAGAACAGACAGCUCCAGGGAGGAAGCUCUUGGAAGUGGCAAUGCAGAUGUUCCUGUUUAUCUGGCCAUUGGAGGACACGAGAGCAACGUGCUCAGAGCUAUCAAGAACCUGAUCUUUUCAGCAAGCUGUUGUCAUGUCUAAAUGAAUUUAUCCAGCAGUUCUCACCCUGUGCUGACGAAGGUGGGCUUGGAGCUCUGGGCAGGUUUUACGUGAGGGGCUGCACAGGCAAGCUGUGCUGAAGCCGGGGAUGAACCCACACGUUCCCUGGGAGGAAUCCCCAGGGUCCCAGCAGGAUGCAUUAACAGCACAUCUCUCCAGCGAGCCGUGAUGGGAAGAGCACGGAGCAAAAAAAAGAGGGAACCGAAGAACCGAUCUCUCGAAGGAUCCUGGCUGGCAGCAAUAUCAGCAUCUGACUGAAGAGAACUCAGCCGCACGCAUAAUCCUCGGGAAAAUUCAUCUCCACCCUCCCGCAGCCCCCGAUUUGCUCUCUCCCCGCUCUCGCAGCCACUGAUGGAAGCUCCGGGGGUUUCCCCACCGGCCCGGCCCCGCCGCUCCCGUGCUGGAAAUCCGCAGCUCCGGGAGGACUCACGGCAGCUCCGGGGCACGGACACCGCUGCACCCCAUCCCGGGGACCCUCAUUAGUAACCCCAUCCCAGGGACCCUCAUUAAUAACCCCGUCCCGGGGACCCUCAUUAAUAACCCCAUCCCAGGGACCCUCAUUAGCAACCCCAUCCCAGGGACCCUCAUUAGCAACCCCAUCCCAGGGACCCUCAUUAGCAACCCCAUCCCAGGGACCCUCAUUAGCAGCCCCCCGCUCCUCGGGACACGCCGGCUCUCGCCCCUCUGUCCCCGGAGAGAGCCGGUCCCUGUGUGCCAGCCCCGGAACCACAGCCGUCCGUGGGCUCUGGCAGACGGGGCCGAGCGCAGAACCCAGGCAGGAGCAGAGGGAGAAGGAAGGGACCGGAGUGGGGCAGUGCCUGUUCCAGUAAAGAUGCUGGGCUUGGCCACAUCCAUGGCUCCCGGCUGCUGUGACCCGGUGUCACCCCAGAUGUCCCCACGGUCUGUAGGAGAGACCAUGCAAAAUACACUUAUUCAUAAACUUUAUUAAUGGAUUUUUACAAGGCUCGGCGAGCCAGAGACCAGUGCUGCAGAGUGAUCUAGGUGCAGGCUCCAGGAAAAUAUUUAUUCUGAGACCCAUGGCUGGAUCACAGAGUUCCUGGCUCCUUCUGUCCCAAUCCCAGUGUGACCUCGGAUGGCAGCAAACAGGGUCCCACGCUAUUUGCCCUACAGAUGAGGCUCUAAAACCUCAAAGACUCCUGCAAAAGCUUUUUAUUGUAGGAGUAAAUAAUCACCCCUUACACUCGACACAGGCAUUACUGAUGCCCUGGACUCCCCUUGUUCAAAACUCCAUUGUUUUAGGUGGCACUGGAGCAGCAAUGUGGGCUUUGUCCCUUGUCACUGCAAUUCCAUGUGUGCCCCAGAAUCAAGUGGGCUGAAGCAGGAUUGCUGGGGUGAGAACAGGAGGGGACAGAGGUUCAUCCUGAGAGCACCCCGAGGCUGAGCAGAGCAAAUGAGUCAGGCAGAAGAAUUCCACCGGUGCUGGCAAAUUUUUCUCUCUCGCUGGACUUGAUGGCAAGCAGUCCCCUGUGAAUCCCUGACCUUCACACUCCACAGGCUGCCUGGGAUGGCUCACAGAAACCACAGGAGAUUUUUUCCUGUUCCUGAUUGUCGGAGCACACAACAAUUCUGGUGUGAAUGUUGUUGCAUCUGCUUUGGACAAGUCCUGUCAGCAGCACCUCUGCAGCUUCCCAAAGCUGUGCCAGGACAUGCUUUGGUGUGAAUGAGGAUAGGGAAGAACUUACACUCAGAGAGUCACAGAAUCCCAAAUGGUUUGGGCUAGAAGGACCACAAAACCUGUCCAAUGCCACUGCUGCCGUGGGUGAGGACACCUUCCACUGUCCCAGGCUGUUCCAGGCCCUGUCCGAUUCCAUUGACUGUUCCAGGUGGGAUUUGAAAUUAGUUGGGUGUCUGAUCCAUUUGGCUGCAGUUUGUGGAGACAGACGGACAUCCCUGGACAACAGGAUAACCUGCCAGUCAAGUCCUGUCCCAGGGUGAGAGGGUUGUUGGACAGGGAGGCUACAUGACACCACUGAAAGCCCAGCUGCCACAGAAUCCUCUCUAAAAUACCCUCCUCACCUCUUAAAUUCCAGUCUUGUGCAUUAACCAGCUCGCUGUGUGGAAGGGCACUGUGUGAUAACUCACCUUGUUUCUGCCUUUUGACUCCCAAACACUCCUCUCUCAUUUUUCCCUUUUAGCCCUCCUGUCCCUCGGCCCUUUUCUCUCUCCACCUUUCCUCUGAUUGCUGAGCAGCUUUUUGACUUUUCCAUCAAUAAGUCUAAAGAGCAUUUGAACCUCUCUGGUCCCCCUUCUCUCCUCCCUCCAGUUCCAAAUCAGGCAAGCUCAUCGAUCAGAGGAGCUCAGGAAAUAUCUGGUGUUUUGUUGUCAGGCUGAUAAUAACAUUGCAGUUGUGAAUGGGCUGCUGCAGGCCUGAUCAUGGACACCUGCAGGGUUUGUUUAAUUGCAUUUAAUGACAAAUCCUAUACAGAGGAGCAUUGCCAGAGAGAUUUAUUAUCCGCCAAAGAGGCAAAGCACAACAGCUCAAAAUAUAAUUUGCACUGAGCAUUUUUCCCCCUGCCUCUCUUUAAAGCACGGUAAUAAAUGACAAAUCGGGUAAAGUGGGAGACAUGGGGUUGGGGAGGAGGUGGGGGGCAGAGGACAGAGAUUGAAACCAAAGGAAAUAACAGCAAUAAGGCCACAUUGUUCUCUUUGCCCUCCCUGUGGUCUGGUGUAGAGGAAAUACUGUUUGUUUAAUUUACAGCCUGGAAGUGCAGCUGGGGAUCUCUCUGUGAUGAGCCUGGCAGAGAUAGCUGGAGGCCAAGAGUCCCCACUCUUUCCAGACAGGCUUUUUCCCCGUGUUCUGCAGCUAAGUUUAGCUGCCAUCCAUAGAAACAAUUACUGAGGAGCCUCCCAGUGCUGGGGAGAGGGGCGAGGUCCAGCUGCCACCAGCACAAGGAGCCACAUCCCUGAAAUCUCUGGGACAAACCUGAAGUGGCAGAUCCCUUCCUGACAAAUAUCACACGGAGAAAUACGGCCCCACAGAGACAGUCCAGACAAAAACCUCACACGCCUCCGAGGCUGCGAUUUAUGUUUCCUGCUGAACACCUCGCUCUGAACAGGGAAUGUCUGGGUGUGAAACCAAGAGAGGAGCUCUUGCUCACACGUCUCCUGUCUUGAUUUUUACCAGUCUAGCAAUGAUUUGUGGUAAAUCCCUUCGUGGAGCUGUGUGCCAGAACAAGGACUGAAAAGUGUCCUUGUCACCUGGAAUUCCAGUCCAGCUCAGUGCCUCCCCAGCUGUCUUCUCUUUCAAAUUCAUUCUUCUUUACAAUUCAUCCUCUCUUCCAGUUAUCUUGGGCUGAAGACUGAAAUGUCCUGAAUUUUUAUUUCCAAAUAUUGUCUCACUCCCCAGAUGUUUUCACUGCAAACUCACUACUGUUCCACUUGAUAUUCAGAUUAGAAUCACACAAUACCCUGCCUUGUAAGGGACUCACAAGGAUCAUCCCAUCCAGCCCCUGGUUAAAUUUUACCUGGGAGGUUUGGGGUGACAGUUUUAUACAAGAACACAUCCCCCCCCAGCAGUUGGCUCUGUCCUUACACAAACACGGUGUUGGGUGACACCUGGACCCGUUUUUAUCUGAUUUCCUGGACAAUGGCAGUAUCACUAAUGCUCCCUGUUAAAUAAGACCACCUGGACAUCUCCUGCUAUCAGCCCCAGCUAUCACAAACACCUCUGCUACCUGGGCCAGCACAAAGGGCUGUUAUCUCGGAGCAGCACAAGUCCCCAGACUGAAACACCCAUCUGGAGAUAAAGUGUCCAUAAAAGCACAUGUGUUAUAAAAAAGGAGAGGGAGGGAGGGAUGGGACCGCUCCCCACGAGUUCCCACAGGGCACAGCCCCUGCACACCCAAACCCUCUCCUGCUGCUGCACCCUCUUCAUCCUCCCGUGGAAGGAGCAGCCGAGGCUGCUGAGGAAUGGCUUUAUCUCUUUCUCUUUCUCCCCCACCCAUAACAGUUGGGUGAAGAUGGGAAGAGGCUGUUCCCUGCCUGAUUUCAGUGGCUGAGGUGAGCAAAGCUCUGCUGGACAAGGAAUAAAGUCAGAUCCUUUCCAUGGGCGGGAGCCAGCACCGUCCUUCCACAUCUCAUCCGUGUGAGGGAUCAACAGAGAAAACCUGGGCAGUGAAAGAAAAGCUGGACCUGAACCAAAGAUUGCUCAUCAACAAAUCCAGAAAAAGGGAGCAGCAAAAGGGGUUUGUUUUCCUUGCUUAAAUCAGCCUCUCAGCGGGAUUCCAGGAAACUCGGCACUAUCAUUAUCUUUCUCUUUGCAGAGUCCUUCUCUCCCGUGUUCCCCAGCAUAUAUUGCAUUUGCUUAUUGUAGUCAGACUCAUACACAACUGGGAGACAGACAGCUUGGCAGAGCUCUCCUGGAGAAGUUUAUCACAGGGUAAGGCAGGAGGAGCCCCUGCUGAGCCCUGAUGUCCCUGUAGAGUCUCUGGAGUGAGAAAAUGGAGCAGAAACUCACGGGAACAGCACAAAUUGGAGAGAUGAUUACAGGGAGAUUUGAUGUGGUCUCAGGAGGAACGCUGCAAAGGGCAGCAUCCAUCCCUGAAGGAGAGACAGGAGCAAGGAUUACAGGAUGAGAAGAACUGAGGAAGGAUGCUGGGAGAAGACGUGCGGGAGGACGUCCCUGAGGAGGAAGCGCUGCUCUCCUGGCCUGGCUCUGUGUGGAAGACUAGUGAUUUUGUUGUUGUGUUUGUAAAGGUGACAACAAAUCAUAGCCUGCCAUACAGCCCAGGCUGCCACGGCCUGGGUGUGCAAGUGUUUUGGGUGCUGGAGCUCUUGGCUUACGCUGCUCCUCAGUCCAAAUGUCCCCCAGUUCCUUCUUCGGCCCCAUUUAUAUCCUGAGUGUGAUGUCCUGUGGUCUGGAGCAUCCCUGGGGUCAGCUGGGCUCAGUCCCAGGCACCCCCAGCCCCUCCCCAGCAUGGCCAGACGAGGUCACUCACUUGGCUCUGAGUGAGCUCAGCAAGAACAGAAACAUCUCUGAGUUACCAGCCCUGUGUCAGCACAAACCCAAACACAGCCCCAGAGCAGCCAGUGAGAAGGAAAUUCUCUCUGUCCCAGCUGAAAGCAGCACAGGACCCAAGGAACCUGCCCCAAACACACCAGAGCAGGGUCAGGGCACUUGGACACUGCCAGGACCUCCAUGCCUGGCAGGGCUUCUUUGGAGAGUUGAGCCCAUUGCUACCAACAGGGUCUUAAAAUAUAAAGAGCAAAUUUUCAACACCAUUCAGAGCCUCCAUUCUCAAAGGUAUUUAGGUGUGAAAAUGAAACUCCUGAAUCCUGCCGAGGCCAGUGGUAAAAGUACUAAAAUAUCUUUAAUAAUUUGGGUUGUUCAUGCUGUCGAGCACUUUUCUCCUUUUUUUUUUUUUAAUUUACCAGGCUCAGCACUGCCCACAUCACUGGUACUGUGGCAGAUGUGAUUUAGGAAUCACACAAUGGUUUGGGCUGGAAGGGAUCUUAAAGCCCAUCCCAGUGCCACCCCUGCCAUGGGCAAGGACUCCUUCCCCUAUCCCAGGCUGCUCCAAGCCCUGUCCAGCCUGGCCUUGGGCACCGCCAGGGAUCCAGGGACAGCCACAAAUCUGUUGCCAGAACAGUUUUAAACCUGUACAAAUUGCUGUCAUUUGAUGGUGCCUGAAAGAAAAGAUUCAGGUUUCAUAAACCACAACGUCUCUCUCUCCCCCUGUCUUUCACUUUCCCACUGACAGAUUAAAUCCACACAAAAUUCCGAGGGCAGCAGUGCAGCCAUUAAUGCUGCAAUGGCCAGGCUGGUGUCUGAUGUAAAUGAAACUUUGAUUUAGUGUUCCCCCAGAAGCCUCCCCAGCGUGUUCAUCCUCUGCAGGCUGAUCAAAAUCCUCCCUCCCAGGUACCCGCGGCCUCGUGGCCCACAUAAGCACAGAAAAUAAUGUCAUCAGAGCCCUGCUGAUGGAGGCAGUUACAGGACAAAGGCCCUGCAGCAAGGUGGGGAUUGGGUCAUCGUUCCUGCUAAUGUCAGGGUGCCAUUUCUCCCUAUUUUUAGAAUUGUUCCCUUUGUACAGCAAAUUGCUUAACUAUAGAGACAAUCUGGUGUUCGCUGGCUUUGGGAGCAGGGACCCAUCUUCCCUGGCUUCAGGAAAUCACAAAACCACUGAAAGCUGGAGAUGGAUAAAACCUGGGUACACAGGAGCCUGCAAACCUCAAUUUACACUGAAAACCUGAGGAGCUGCUGCAGCCCUGACUGAGCACAAAGGAAGUUUCUGCAGGUUUCUAAAUUAUCCACUCUGCUUCAGAAGGAAGAAUAAAUCAGUACUGACUCUGCUCCUAAAUUAUUUUGAUGCUUUUGGAACUCUUAGCACAGCUCCAAACUUCACCGAAUUUUGAGGGAAGAGAUGGGGAGCAAUGGAUUAGGAAUUCUGGAGCCUUUCACACUGAGGAUGUUCCAAACCAUCCAUCCCAGCCCUUUGUUCCUCUCCACAUCGUACAUCGUGGUUGUCCCAGACACCUCAGCAUGGAUUGAAGCUCUUUGGCUUCAAAGCAGAGCAAACACGAGCUGUAAAUUCCAACUUUGCAGCCUAAAUAAGCCAGACAGAGAGAGAACAGUUAUUAUUCCUGUGUUAUUGGCAGGGAAUUGAGACACAGGAAGAUUAAAUGACUGGCCCAAGGUCACCAAAGGAGCCUCCUGUAAAGGUGAGGGCUCAGCCUGGAUUUCUGAAGUCUCUGCCCAGUACUUCAGCCAUCCAUUCACUUGCUCUUUAAGUACCCUGUCAUUAUUUCUGUGAAGGAAAUUAUGCUCCUCCUGCAGCAGCCAGCACCGUGUAAUUCAGCUUGUCUGAAAGGGAAUAUGAAAUGGCAGUUUC